GGAAUGGAGAGAACUACCUGCCCUGC
rnacentral:piRNA from 1 species